UACGUAGGGGGCAAGCGUUGUCCGGAUUUAUUGGGCGUAAAGAGCGUGUAGGCGGCCAGGUAGGUCAGCUGUGAAAACUCGAGGCUUAACCUCGAGACGCCGGCUGAAACCCUCUGGCUAGAGUCCGGAAGAGGAGAGCGGAAUUCCUGGUGUAGCGGUGAAAUGCGUAGAUAUCAGGAGGAACACCUGAGGCGAAAGCGGCUACCUGGACUGACACUGACACUGAGGCGCGAGAGCGUGGGGAGCAAACAGG
rnacentral:rRNA from 1 species